rnacentral:sRNA from 1 species
ACUGGACCAGGCACCCAGACCACUUCAUUAAGCUGAAGUGGUCUGGGUGCCUAAAGUGGUCCUUUAAUGUAUGUGUAUAUAUAUAUAUAUAUAUAUAUAUAUAUAUAUUAUUGAUACAUUU